rnacentral:rRNA from 1 species
GGGGGGGGGGGGGGGGGGGCGGGGGACGGGGGGGUCGGGCGGCAGCGGGGGGUGCGGCGGGGCGGCGGGGGGCGGGCGGGUGAGUGAUGCGGCGGAACGGGCCCAGGGGUGGGGUAUAGCCCGGCGAACGCCGGGUUACUACCGCAUACGACCUGAGGGCGAAAGCGGGGGACCGAAAGGCCUCGCGCUAUUGGCGCGGCCGAGGUCGGAUUAGCUAGUUGGUGGGGUAAAGGCUUACCAAGGCGACGAUCCGUAGCUGGUCUGAGAGGACGACCAGCCACACUGGGACUGAGACACGGCCCAGACUCCUACGGGAGGCAGCAGUGGGGAAUUUUGGUCAAUGGGGGCAACCCUGAUCCAGCCAUGCCGCGUGCGGGAAGAAGGCCUUCGGGUUGUAAACCGCUUUUGUUCGGGAAGAAAUCCUCUGGGCUAAUACCCCGGGGGGAUGACGGUACCGGAAGAAUAAGCACCGGCUAACUACGUG